GGUUAACUGACUGAGGGGCCAGGGUCAGAGAAAAGGGUAUCUUUUCUCCCUGGUCACAAGGCUGUAAGUAUGGAAGCCCAGCAUCAAAGAGCCAUGCCCCCACCUAAGAAAGAAGUUGUUCUAAGGAAAAUGAAACCAGUAUACAGACAGCAGGAUGGAACAAUAGUCAAAUGCUUUCGAUGUGCUCAACACAAUGCUAGGCACAGAUGAAUAAGGGUCUGUUCCAAGAAGACACAGAAUGGGAGAAAUGGUCAAAAAUAAAGAUGCAUCCUUUCUGUCUUCUCUGCUAAACAGUGAGCUCCAGGAAGAAAAGGAUCAUCAUUUAUCCUUCCAUGCUGUGUCUUUAGAACCUAGUGUGGUGCCCAGCACAUAGAAGUGGGUACCAGUCAUGGAGAACUUCA
rnacentral:lncRNA from 10 species